rnacentral:lncRNA from 1 species
UCUAUUAAAAAAUAGUUUAUCAGAGGGUGAUGGGCAUAUGGGUGCUGUGUUUUCUUUGCAUUCGACAGAUAUUUAUCCAGUCCCUGCUGUCAACAUUGCUGAAUGAAGAAGAUCCACGGAGUGAUAAGACUGUGCAUAGUGAAGGCGUGGCCUUGCCCAGGGGGUUAGGUGUGUGCUGGCUAAGGAUGGAGAAAUCCCCUACCCCUCCUUCCCCUGGGUCCCGUUGGUCUCCACGGGCCUGAGAUUGCUCCUGUGCAGAGCCUGGGACAUUGUUUCUGUUUGAACUUCCUCUCUCCCUUUUCUUUAAAAAAAUCGUCAUUUAAGAAUCUUAUCAAUAUUAUUUUGACUGACAGAUCAUGAUUGUAAACGUUUGUGGGGCAUGAGGUGAUGUUUGAUAUAUGUACACAAUGUGCCAUGAUCAGAUCAAGCAGAUUAACAUAUCGUCAUUUCACUUCCCUAUUAUUCUUCUCUGGUGAGACAUCUGAAAUUCACUCUCAGCUAUUUUGAGAUAUACAGCAUCAUCAUUGGCAAUAGUCGUGCACUAGAUCUCAAGACCUUUGCCUCCUAUCCACCUGAGACUUUGGACCUUUUCAUCACAGUCAAGAUAUGGAAACAACCUAGAUGUCCGUUAGUGGAUGAACAGACAGAGGAAAUGUGGAACAAACCAGGUACAGGCCCAUCCUGCGGUCUUCCUUCUCCACUCAGGAGGCCAAGGUGGGAGGGUCCCUGAGCCCAGACAUUUGAGACCAGCAACAUAGUGAGACUUCAUCUGAAAAAAGAAAGAAGAAAUGUGGGCUGUACACACAGUGGAGUACACAGCCUUGUAACAACGUGGGUCCAUCUGGAGGACUUAUGUCAAGUGGAGAAACCAAGCACCACAAGACAGAUCCUGAGUGAACUUAUUCCUGAU